rnacentral:rRNA from 1 species
GACGAACGCUGGCGGCGUGCCUAAUACAUGCAAGUGGGACGCAAGGGAACACACUGUGCUUGCACACCGUGUUUUCUUGAGUCGCGAACGGGUGAGUAACGCGUAGGUAACCUGCCUAUUAGCGGGGGAUAACUAUUGGAAACGAUAGCUAAUACCGCAUAAUAUUAAUUAUUGCAUGAUAAUUGAUUGAAAGAUGCAAGCGCAUCACUAGUAGAUGGACCUGCGUUGUAUUAGCUAGUUGGUAAGGUAAGAGCUUACCAAGGCGACGAUACAUAGCCGACCUGAGAGGGUGAUCGGCCACACUGGGACUGAGACACGGCCCAGACUCCUACGGGAGGCAGCAGUAGGGAAUCUUCGGCAAUGGACGAAAGUCUGACCGAGCAACGCCGCGUGAGUGAAGAAGGUUUUCGGAUCGUAAAGCUCUGUUGUAAGUCAAGAACGUGUGUGAGAGUGGAAAGUUCA